GGGUUCACUUUGUAGCCCAGGCUGGUUUUGAACUUGCAAUGAUUCUCCUGCCUUAGCCUCCUAAGUGCUGGGAUUACAAGAGUGUGCCACCAUGCUUGGGUUCUUCCCUGUCUAGAUCUUGGACACCAUGCCAUCAUUUGGGGAGCACGAAGAACAUGAACAUUCUGAAAUCUUCUCCAGAUAAGUGCAUCUCUAUGGGUAGAACGUCUCCUUGACUACACUUACCAUGUCAUACAAGAGCUCUAGAAAUUGUUGCCACAGACCACUCAGUGAGCAGCCCUGAUAAAGCUACUUGUAGCAGGGGAUGGACAACUGACCAAAGACUACAAUUGCUCACCUUUGAUUGAAGUUGCAGCUGUAGGUAUGGUGACAUGUGAGCUAAGUCUUAGGAGCAGCCAGCAACCUUGGUAGGAAGAUUCUGCUGAAUCAUCAUCUUCCAGGCAAGAGGUGAAACAAUGAAAGACUGGACUUCAGAAGCUUUGCUUUGAAGAUGGCUGUGCCUGAAUGCACAGCAAGACCAAGAGGGACAGAGAGAAAGCCAGUGUCAGAAGACAAGUAAAUGAUUCUCAUAACCAGAAGCUACAGAUGGGAAAUAUACCUAGAAACAAUUGUAUGUUGUCAGGUAAAGAUUCCCUCCAAAUUUAUUUCCAGACAGAGCCUUAGACUAUGACCUUCUCUGUAAAAAGGACUUUUGCCUAUGUAAUUCCUGAAAUUAAUAGGAGACCAUACAAGUUUAGGGUGGGCUCUAAACCAACCAACAGAGACAGAUGCACGAGAGAGAAAGAGGGACUAUGUGAUAAGGGCAGGGGUCAGAGAGACAGCUACAGACCAGAGAUCACUGAGGACUGU